UUUCCUCCAAGAACCAUUUCAGUAUGAGAUACUAGCAACUAGUAUUGCAACGCUCUAUGAAAAUGCAGAAAGAUGCCAUGAUUGAUGAUGUCAAAAGCUACCAAGAGAUCCACUAGACCUAUAGAUUCAACUCCCCUAUCUCUGUCGAGCUGUAAGUCAUCCGCAGGAACGAUCAAUAUUAUCUUGCCUGAAAAUGAACUGAAAAGGCUCCACUAUGCCUCGGUUGAAUCUCUCCUUGAUCAAUUUCCAUCCAUUGUUCCUUGUCUGGCCUUCGGGUGCUUUGGAAAGUUGGUUGUCCCCCUCCUCUCUGCGACAGCCCCCAGACUGAAGCAGGAUCCCAAAUGAAAGCGUAACGAGAAUGUAUACUCUUCAACAAAUGCUUCCUUGUUGUACUCGGAGAGCUACUUCAAGAAUUAGAAAGGCAAGUACUGACUUCAAGAGCCCUGCCACGGUCCCUCCCGUUUCCUGGCAUGUCAAAGCAAGCGAAGGAGAGAUGCGAAUCAGGAUGAGCCUUUUGUCACCCCUCCUGAGGGAACAAAGCCUGCGUACAGUUAUUUCCAUUUAAUUAUUUCCUUGUAACAACUUCCCCUUUGCUACCAUGGAAUAUCUUUAUGUAAGUACAUGACAUACAAGCUCCUUAAAGGGAAAAAAAAAAGAAAAGAAAAGAAACAAUCCAAUCCUUAGCACAAUAGCACAAUAUGU